rnacentral:rRNA from 1 species
CAUAUCAAUAAGCGGAGGAAAAGAAACCAACAGGGAUUGCCCCAGUAACGGCGAGUGAAGCGGCAACAGCUCAAAUUUGAAAUCUGGCCCCCAGGGUCCGAGUUGUAAUUUGUAGAGGAUGCUUUUGGCGAGGUGCCUUCCGAGUUCCCUGGAACGGGACGCCACAGAGGGUGAGAGCCCCGUCUGGUCGGCCACCGAGCCUCUGUAAAGCUCCUUCGACGAGUCGAGUAGUUUGGGAAUGCUGCUCAAAAUGGGAGGUAUAUGUCUUCUAAAGCUAAAUACUGGCCAGAGACCGAUAGCGCACAAGUAGAGUGAUCGAAAGAUGAAAAGCACUUUGAAAAGAGGGUUAAAAAGUACGUGAAAUUGUUGAAAGGGAAGCGCCUAUGACCAGACUUGGGCCCGGUGAAUCAUCCAGCGUUCUCGCUGGUGCACUUCGCCGGGCACAGGCCAGCAUCAGUUUGGCGCGGGGGACAAAGGCUCUGGGAAUGUGGCUCCCCCGGGAGUGUUAUAGCCCACCGCGUAAUACCCUGCGCCGGACUGAGGUACGCGCAUUCGCAAGGAUGCUGGCGUAAUGGUCAUCAGCGACCCGUCUUGAAACACGGACCAAGGAGUCGUCUUCGUAUGCGAGUGUUCGGGUGUCAAACCCCUACGCGUAAUGAAAGUGAACGUAGGUGAGAGCUUCGGCGCAUCACCGACCGAUCCUGAUGUUCUCGGAUGGAUUUGAGUAAGAGCAUACGGGGCCGGACCCGAAAGAAGGUGAACUAUGCCUGUAUAGGGUGAAGCCAGAGGAAACUCUGGUGGAGGCUCGCAGCGGUUCUGACGUGCGAAUCGAUCGUCAAAUAUGGGCAUGGGGGCGAAAGACUAAUCGAACCUUCUAGUAGCUGGUUU